UUUGUAACUUUGCUCAACUGGCUGAUUUGCCUCACUGUGCUGGCUAGAGUCCCCCAGCAGAACUGCACAAAGCUGCUGCAGGUAACCUGGUGUGCUCCAAAAGAAUAUGUGGGAGGAUAUCAUAGAAAACCCCCACUGCUUGGCAUGGUCAGUAUGGAAAUGUCUCCACUGUCUCCGAAGUCUUAAUAACAAAUUGAAAUAACGAGGUAGGUGUUUUACAUAUUUGGCAUUCCUGCUUUGCUCCAAGCUGUCCUGGGGAGAUGACUGAUUUAUCUGUGGCACUGUUACAUUUCCCUAUGGCUGCUGUACGAGACACUUUUGGCCAGAGAGAGCCUCUCUGGCUUGUCAGCAUGCUGGCAUGUUUUCAGGUGGUGUUCUGCUAGUGACCUCAAAUGGGAAUUCACCUAUCUCACACGUGAUGCUGUCUUGGGGACUCUGCUCAUUUUCAUACUGGCAUUGUUUGGUUUUCUUCCCCUUUCAAUGUCAAGGGGGAAGCACCUGGCACAACAGAUACUGUUUUGCCUUAGUCUUGCACUCCUCGUACACUGCAUCACAAAGCUACCUACAAAGCUGAUCUAAAAGGCAACACCAUGAUUUAUGAAGCAGGCAGCAUACCUGCCUUCCAGCUCCCACCUGCAGGAUUAUUUGGUUUUUUUAAGGCUUUCUCAGUUAACAGAUGCUUCCUAUUUGAACUUGUGGAUGCUCUUGGAUGUGGCAGUCAAAUCAUAACUCCACAGUGUGAAAUACUGCUUUUGGUGCAGGUAUUUCCUUGUUCUGUUGCAGAUUCUCACCGAAGAUGUAAAUGCUCCAUUAGUGGGUUCUGGGUGCUCUAGAGCAGGGUUUUGCUCUUUCCUCUGAAGCUGGGCUGUUCUGUAUGGAGCAAACCUUCAUCAGGCCCACGACUGCAUCUGUGCUUCAGUCUCUUCCAGCUGCUGCUUUAAUGAUGUUUUAUCCAAGCAUUCACUGGAGCAGAGACCAGAACUUGCGUUCCCCCCUCCCUUUGCUGUUCAGGGGCUGCAGCACUGCACUCUUCCCAGCUGGGUGAAUAUUCCACCUUGUAAGCUCCAGGAAAAUAACCUCAUCAGAAGGAACUGAGCCACUUACCCUGAUUACAGCAAUUACCAAGAAGUGGAAAUUAAGGGUCAGGUCUCCCUCAACAAAGGCAGGAAUCUAAGACAGAGGUUCCCCAUAGAAGGUCAUAGCAUUAGCCACUGCGCUGCUAGAGAUGGCAGAUGGGAAACUAUCCUUAAAAACUCUACACAUUGUCCUCAAAAUACAUGGCUGAGAUUGGGCCCUGCUGUAACACAGUUAGGGAAUACUUUAUACCUGUAUACAAAUACCAGUUACACUGCAUUACGAGGGCUCAAACAAUCUCAGCAUCAGCAUUAAAAAUUCAUUCUUAAAAAUGCCGGGGGGGGGGAGGAAAAAAAAAGGUUGUGUUUGCCAGCUGGGUCUCCCUCAGCGCUCAGCUCAUUUUGUUUGUUUCCAUGAGUCAUUUUUAGAACAGGCAACAAUAAUCUAACAAUACUUGAGUCAUACAUAGUCCGGGGCCAACUUCUUAGAGAACAUAGCUUUCCUGAGGAGAGUGAAAAAUAGCCUAAAAGGAGAAGUGCCUCUCUGGCUUUCAUACGUUACAAGAAGUUCUGUUUUUUAAAAAGAAGUGGUUGAUGGAACUGGCUUUUGAAAGCACAGAAAACAAUCCUUCCUGUCUGUCCUUUCAAAUUUGAGACCUAGAAAGCCAUGGGACAGAAAGGGGCUGUUGAUUUAAGACAAAGAACCCCUAAGCCCCCCUUGAACAAGCACACGGCUGCUAACUGCAUGCUAAUGCCUCAUGCUCCAGCGCAGGUCAAGACAAACGUGAAGGGAAAUGAGCUGGAGCUCAUUUCUCCCUUUAUCACGCUGUGAAGUGCAAGCUGGCUGUACGGCUUUGGCUGCUCUCACAGAACCAGCUUUCCUGAGACAAAAUACAUCCAGUCCUACCUUCUGCUUCUUAGUAACACUGUCAUUUCUGAAAAUCAAGUGCCAAGAUAUCUUCCUAAACUAAAACCCCACUCAAUUUCCUUCCUGUGCUCACAGCUCCCCAGUGCAAUCAUAGCUGCAAGGGACUGACUCAGAGUUCCUCUGUGGAGAGAAAGCUUUUUCUGCCUGCUUUUCCCCAAAGCAGCUCAGCUUCCAGGACGUGAUAGUUUGUUGUGGGAAGGCCCCAUCUCAUCGCCUGGAAACAGAGUUAUUAGGGAGUAUCAAUUCCAAACUUAUGCAACAAAGGCUAAGUUUUCAUCUGACCUCC
rnacentral:lncRNA from 1 species